AAAAAGGGUGUUUGCUUCUUAGUAGCACAUGCGACCAAACUGGAAGCGUGGGGUAUGGCAAUCAAGACAUACCCAACACGUAAUUUUUGUUCACGUGGGGCUGUUUUUUGGCAUUGAACCGAAGACGCCCCC